rnacentral:rRNA from 1 species
UACGUAGGGGGCAAGCGUUGUCCGGAAUCAUUGGGCGUAAAGAGCGUGUAGGCGGCUUGUCGCGUCGACUGUGAAAACCCGCGGCUCAACCGUGUGGUCUGCAGUGGAUACGGGCAGACUAGAGGCAGGUAGGGGAGAAUGGAAUUCCCGGUGUAGCGGUGAAAUGCGCAGAUAUCGGGAGGAACACCGGUGGCGAAGGCGGUUCUCUGGGCCUGACCUGACGCUGAGGAGCGAAAGCGUGGGGAGCGAACAGG